rnacentral:misc_RNA from 1 species
AAGCAUUCCCAGCAGCCAUUGCGCAAAAUGGCGUUUGUUGACGAAAGGAUUCAAGAGUAUUUUUUUAACGGAUAUGAUAAUAACGAAAUAAUAUUCCUUCUUUGGAGUAAUCAUAAUGUGAAAAUAAGGUAGGUGUAAACAAUAAAAAUAUUUCAUAUUAAAAUUAUAUCAUAAUACAUGUAGUAAGUAGGCUAAUAUUUCAAAGUAACAAUACAUCAGUACUGUAUAAAAUGAAGGUCAGAACUUUUAUUUCAAGUAAUAUUUUAUGUAUUAAAAAUAUUUAAGCUGCAGGCAUUUGAAAAGGCGCUUGGCCAGACUAAAUCUGAGAAGACGGAGAUACAGCCUGGAUAUGGCAAUUAGAGCCAUUCAGGAGGAAAUGAUGUUCAGUGGUCAGACUCUUGGAUGUCGCUCGAUGAAACGGAGACUUCUUCAGAAACAUGGAAUCUUUAUAGGAAGGGAUGACGUUUUGUGUUUAUUGAGAAUAAUCGAUCCUGAUGGAGUUGAUCUGAGAGCGAGUCACUGCUUGACAAGAAGAAUGUAUCUAAACAAUGGACCAAAUUAUCUUAUACAUGUUGAUGGUUACGACAAAUUAAAGCCAUUUGGUUUCGCUAUUCAUGGUGCGAUGUGUGGAUUUUCAAGGCGAAUAUUGUGGCUUCAAGUUGCAAGAACGAACAAUGACCCUUGUGUUGUAGCUUCAUAUUUCUUGAAAUACCUGGAGGAAAUAAACAGUGCUCCAAGGUGCGUGAGACUUGAUGCUGGAACUGAAAAUAUAUACAUUGAGGACAUUCAAAAAUCUUUUCGUUGGUACCAUGAUGAUGACAUGUGUGGAGAAAAGAGUGUUAUCAUAGGAAGAUCAAUGUCUAACCAGAGAAUAGAACGCUGGUGGAGAACACUGAGAGAGAUGGGCAUUUCCUUCUGGAUACACUUGUUCAAAGAUAUGGAAGACCAAGGGAUGUUUUCAUUGGCAAAUAACGAGCACAUAGAAUGCCUUCGUUUCUGCUUUAUGAGAAUAAUACAGCAAGAACUUGAUCAAAUAAAAAUGGAAUGGAAUAACCAUUAUAUUAGAGCACAAAGACGCUAUGAUGAUGAUGGAAGUCUUCCAGGAAAACCAGAUAUGAUGUUUUUCCACCCGGAAAUUUUUGGUGCUGUAGAUUAUAAAUUUCCAGUGGAUAUUUGUGAUGUGCUAGAGUUUCAAAGACUAUUUCCAAGUCCAAGCCCGAGAGGAUGUUGUGAGGACUACGCAGCAUACUUCGAUCAUUUGCUUUUAGAUGGUGGGAGAACUGUUCCACAGACCAUUGAAAAGGCCAUCGAGGCUUUGAAUUACUUGGUUGAAAAGCUCUAAAAUCCAAAUCAAGCCCAGAGAAUACACCAUCACCUAAUGUUGCACUUUUUAAUUUAAUGUUGUAUACCUAUCAUCAGUACAGCUAAAAGAAAGUGUUUGAAUUAAAAUUUACAGACAG